GACGAACGCUGGCGGCGUGCUUAACACAUGCCAGUCGAACGGAAAGGCCCUGCUUUUGUGGGGUGCUCGAGUGGCGAACGGGUGAGUAACACGUGAGUAACCUGCCCUUGACUUUGGGAUAACUUCAGGAAACUGGGGCUAAUACCGGAUAGGAGCUCCUGCUGCAUGGUGGGGGUUGGAAAGUUUCGGCGGUUGGGGAUGGACUCGCGGCUUAUCAGCUUGUUGGUGGGGUAGUGGCUUACCAAGGCUUUGACGGGUAGCCGGCCUGAGAGGGUGACCGGCCACAUUGGUACUGAGAUACGGCCCAGACUCCUCCGGGAGGCAGCAGUGGGGAAUAUUGCACAAUGGGCGGAAGCCUGAUGCAGCAACGCCGCGUGCGGGAUGACGGCCUUCGGGUUGUAAACCGCUUUCGCCUGUGACGAAGCGUGAGUGACGGUAAUGGGUAAAGAAGCACCGGCUAACUACGUG
rnacentral:rRNA from 1 species